rnacentral:rRNA from 1 species
ACUUAGAUCAUCUUGGUGGCGGACGGGUGAGUAACACGUGAGCAACCUGCCUUUGAGAGAGGGAUAGCUUCUGGAAACGGAUGGUAAUACCUCAUAACAUACAGAUACCGCAUGGUGACUGUAUCAAAGAUUUAUCACUCAAAGAUGGGCUCGCGUCUGAUUAGAUAGUUGGUGAGGUAACGGCCCACCAAGGCGACGAUCGGUAGCCGGACUGAGAGGUUGAACGGCCACAUUGGGACUGAGACACGGCCCAGACUCCUACGGGAGGCAGCGGUGGGGAAUAUUGCACAAUGGGGGAAACCCUGAUGCAGCGACGCCGCGUGGAGGAAGAAGGUCUUCGGAUUGUAAACUCCUGUUGUUGAGGAAGAUAAUGACGGUACUCAACAAGGAAGUGACGGCUAACUACGUGCCAGCAGCCGCGGUAAAACGUAGGUCACAAGCGUUGUCCGGAAUUACUGGGUGUAAAGGGAGCGCAGGCGGGCGAUCAAGUUGGAAGUGAAAUCCAUGGGCUCAACCCAUGAACUGCUUUCAAAACUGGUCGUCUUGAGUAGUGCAGAGGUAGGCGGAAUUCCCGGUGUAGCGGUGGAAUGCGUAGAUAUCGGGAGGAACACCAGUGGCGAAGGCGGCCUACUGGGCACCAACUGACGCUGAGGCUCGAAAGUGUGGGUAGCAAACAGGAUUAGAUACCCUGGUAGUCCACACCGUAAACGAUGAUUACUAGGUGUUGGGAGAUUGACCCUCUCAGUGCCGCAGUUAACACAAUAAGUAAUCCACCUGGGGAGUACGACCGCAAGGUUGAAACACAAAGGAAUUGACGGGGGCCCGCACAAGCAGUGGAGUAUGUGGUUUAAUUCGACGCAACGCGAAGAACCUUACCAAGUCUUGACAUCCCUUGACGAUGCUGGAAACAGUAUUUCUCUUCGGAGCAAGGAGACAGGUGGUGCAUGGUUGUCGUCAGCUCGUGUCGUGAGAUGUUGGGUUAAGUCCCGCAACGAGCGCAACCCUUAUGGUCAGUUACUACGCAAGAGGACUCUGGCCAGACUGCCGUUGACAAAACGGAGGAAGGUGGGGAUGACGUCAAAUCAUCAUGCCCUUUAUGACUUGGGCUACACACGUACUACAAUGGCGUUAAACAAAGAGAAGCAAGACCGCAAGGUGGAGCAAAACUCAGAAACAACGUCCCAGUUCGGACUGCAGGCUGCAACUCGCCUGCACGAAGUCGGAAUUGCUAGUAAUCGUGGAUCAGCAUGCCACGGUGAAUACGUUCCCGGGCCUUGUACACACCGCCCGUCACACCAUGAGAGCCGGGGGGACCCGAAGUCGGUAGUCUAACCGCAAGGAGGACGCCGCCGAAGGUAAAACUGGUGAUUGGGGUGAAGUCGUAACAAGGU